CCUAGCAGAAAAUAGGGGAAGAAAUCUACGUGAGCUUGGAUUUGGCAAUGGAUUUUUAGAUAUGACACCAAAAGUAUAAGGAACAAAGGAAAAACAGGAAAACUGAACUUUCACAAGAUGAAAACUUCUGCAUAUCAACAGACUUUAUCAAGAAAGGGAAAAGACAACCUACAGAAUAGGAGAGAAUAUCUGCAUAUGUGACAGGUGCCUAGUGUCUAGAGUACAUACAGAACUCUCACGAUUGAACAAAAAAAAGACAGAGAACCCAACUAAAAAACGGGCAUUGGAUUUACUUGGGUAUUUCUCUGAAGGAGGUAUACAAAUGGCCAAUAACCACAUGGAGACGCUAACCAUCAUGAGUCACCAGGGAAACGUAAGUCAAAACCACAACGAGAUACCACUUCACACCCCUUCGGAUGACUACAAUAAAAAAAAAUUUUUUUUAAAGGAAAACAACAAGCGUUGGCGAAGAUGUGGAGAAAGUGGAGUCCUUGCACCCUGCUGGUGGGAAUGUGCAACGGUGCAGCCGCUGUGGAAAAGUCUGACGAUUCCUCAAAAAGUUAAACGCGGAAUGACCCAGCAACUCCACUCCUCAGAAGAAGUGAAAACAAGAGCUCGAGUAAGUACACAUACGCACACGUUUACGGUAGUGCUCCUGACAACAGCCAAGAGAUGGAAACAACCGAAAUGCCCACCAACUGAUGAAUAAACAAUAUGUGGUCUAUGCAGUCACAGAAGGUCACAGGUUGUAUUGCUUCCACAUGAAACAUCCAGAACACGUAAAUCUGUGGAGACGGAAGGCAGACCGGUGGCUGCCAGGUGCUUGAGGGAGAGGGAGGAGGAAGCAGAAUGCCGGACACAACAACAUCUUGGUGGACAGAACUCUCCUCGCCGCACAGCAGCCGGCCAGUGUCGCUGCUCAAACUGGAAGGGAGGAAAACAGUUCCUGAAGGAUUUCGGCAGCCAAUGUUUGAAAAACCAUUUCCCUGGGAUGUCUGGACGUAAUUUCUGGACAUUUAAUGGAAACAAGUCGAGGGCGCCUGACCAAAACUGAAGUGCUCUGUACUCCAGGACGGCAAGCAAUAGUCACUGGUCUCGAUCCGGACUCCAGGGCUUCCCAACGGAAUGACACUGAGAAAGUUUUUUGGCCUCUCUGAGCUUCAGAACCUAUUUUUUUAUCUUACAAGGACUGAGUAAGAACAUGGAAAACACUGGAACGGUAUCUGGCACGUGACUGCCAUGGUCUUUUGCUAACAGUCCUAAAGAACGGUGCUGCCAGGAAGACCACUUACGUGGACCAACUCUUCAUCAUCCCGCGCAGAGUAAAUAGCAAAUCUCCUUUCCAAUGUGGUCUGUAGGCCAUCUUGCUCGUUGGUUGAAAGGUCUGCAUUAACUGUAAAUGUUCCAAUGAACCUGGAGAGAAACCAGGCGUUCCCUGUGUCACAGGUCAUGGCAAAGAGGAAUGCUCGCUAUUCUUUUAUAGCCAAGAAAAUCAGAAGGGACGGUCUCAGAAGGGAACAUGAGCCUCGGCUGCCUAUGCCCUGCUUUUCCCAGUCUGAGCGGCUUGACCCCUGCUUACCACUGAGGACCCCGUCACACUUCACAUCCCUGGUUGCCUUCCCAGACCCCCAGCUGCUCCGUGCACCCACAGGCCCCAGCACAUCCCCUCCUGAGCACUCCUACCAGCAAGCUACCCUGAUGACUGAGAGCACCGGUCUUCCCGGCCAGCCUGGGAGCUCUUCGAGGGCAGAGAUCAUGCCUGACGCUUCUCUGUCUUCAGUACUGUGCCCAAGGCCUGGCAUAUAGGAUCCUUUCGGGGAAGGUGUGUGGAACUGACCUGCCCCCAGACUCUGAGAGACAUAAGUCCUACACGGGGGCUCUGCAGGACGGGCUGGAGGGCCGUACCAUUUCACCAGGUUCGACAGGUAGCAGGCAUCCACGUUCUGAGGUGGCACUUUGGUAAAGCGAGCUGGGAUGAUGGACAGGCCGAUGGCAAGCAGAUCUGGCUGGCUGCAGAUGUUACUGCGAUAGAAACCAUUUGCCAGCAGGCACAACAGGUGAACCUGGGAAAAAGGGGAAGAUGGUAGGCUGAAAACCGGAGGGGUUUCUGCUGCCAGACUGAGUGACAUUUUGUGGGCAGGAGUUCUUUGUUAUUUCUACAAACGAGAAAGAAAAAUUCCAGGUCAGCCAUUUCCCAAGACUUUGUCACCCUGUCCCCUCCCAACUUAUUCCCUCACAGAAAUAAUCAAAUCUCAAAAUUGCAAAAUAAAAACUUUUUUUUUUUCUUUUA